rnacentral:rRNA from 1 species
GAUCCUGGCUCAGGAUGAACGCUAGCCACAGGCUUAACACAUGCGAGUCGAGGGGAAACGACAUCGAAAGCUUGCUUUUGAUGGGCGUCGACCGGCGCACUGGUGAGUAACGCGUAUCCAACCUGCCCACCACUUGGGGAUAACCUUGCGAAAGUAAGACUAAUACCCAAUGAUAUCUCUAGAAGACAUCUGAAAGAGAUUAAAGAUUCAUCGGUGAUGGAUGGGGAUGCGU